CUCCAGAGACUAGGGUGAUCUUGAAUCCCAGACCAGCCCCAAAAUGAAACACCGCCAAAGUAAGGAGAACCUCCUUCAAGUCUCCAGAUGAUGCAACCCCCCAAGAACUCACAAGAGUCU
rnacentral:pre_miRNA from 14 species